UACGUAGGGUGCAAGCGUUAAUCGGAAUUACUGGGCGUAAAGCGUGCGCAGGCGGUCUUGCAAGACAGAUGUGAAAUCCCCGGGCUCAACCUGGGAACUGCAUUUGUGACUGCAAGGCUGGAGUACGGUAGAGGGGGAUGGAAUUCCGCGUGUAGCAGUGAAAUGCGUAGAUAUGCGGAGGAACACCGAUGGCGAAGGCAAUCCCCUGGACCUGUACUGACGCUCAUGCACGAAAGCGUGGGGGAGCAAACAGG
rnacentral:rRNA from 1 species